rnacentral:rRNA from 1 species
CCUACGGGUGGCUGCAGUGAGGAAUAUUGGACAAUGGGCGCAAGCCUGAUCCAGCCAUGCCGCGUGCAGGAAGACGGUCCUAUGGAUUGUAAACUGCUUUUGUACAGGAAGAAACCCUCCCACGUGUGGGAGAUUGACGGUACUGUAAGAAUAAGGAUCGGCUAACUCCGUGCCAGCAGCCGCGGUAAUACGGAGGAUCCAAGCGUUAUCCGGAAUCAUUGGGUUUAAAGGGUCCGUAGGCGGUUUAGUAAGUCAGUGGUGAAAGCCCAUCGCUCAACGGUGGAACGGCCAUUGAUACUGCUAGACUUGAAUUAUUAGGAAGUAACUAGAAUAUGUAGUGUAGCGGUGAAAUGCUUAGAGAUUACAUGGAAUACCAAUUGCGAAGGCAGGUUACUACUAAUGGAUUGACGCUGAUGGACGAAAGCGUGGGUAGCGAACAGGAUUAGAUACCCCAGUAGUC